rnacentral:rRNA from 1 species
UACGUAGGGUGCGAGCGUUGUCCGGAAUUACUGGGCGUAAAGAGCUCGUAGGUGGUUUGUCGCGUUGUUCGUGAAAACUCACAGCUUAACUGUGGGCGUGCGGGCGAUACGGGCAGACUGGAGUACUGCAGGGGAGACUGGAAUUCCUGGUGUAGCGGUGGAAUGCGCAGAUAUCAGGAAGAACACCCAUGGCGAAAGCAGCUCUCUGGGACGGUACUGACGCUGAGACGCGAAAGCGUGGGGAGCGAACAGG